AGAGCGAACGCUGGCGGCAGGCCUAACACAUGCAAGUCGAGCGCCCGUAGCAAUACGGGAGCGGCAGACGGGAUAGUAACACGUGGGAACGCGCCCUUCGGUUCGGAAUAACUCAGGGAAACUUGAGCUAAUACCGGAUACGCCCUUACGGGGAAAGAUUUAUUGCCGAAGGAACGGCCCGCGUCCGAUUAGCUAGUUGGUGAGGUAAUGGCUCACCAAGGCGACGAUCGGUAGCUGGUCUGAGAGGAUGACCAGCAUCACUGGGACUGAGACACGGCCCAGACUCCUACGGGAGGCAGCAGUGGGGAAUAUUGGACAAUGGGCGCAAGCCUGAUCCAGCCAUGCCGCGUGGAUGAUGAAGGCCUUAGGGUUGUAAAGUCCUUUUAGCGGGGAAGAUAAUGACGGUACCCGUAGAAUAAGCCCGGCUAACUUCGUGCCAGCAGCCGC
rnacentral:rRNA from 1 species